UAAUAAUUUUUGAAUACUGGUUGCUUAAGAAAUUAAGCACUAAGAGGGAAGCCGGGUGAAAAUCCCGUACAGUCCUGCUGCCGUGAUGACGGAGGAGGUUCUCCGGAAGCUUUGUAUUUUUAGUAUGAAGCUUCCAAAUGCCACUGGGCGAUCAGCCUGGGAAGGUGAGAACCGACAAAGAUGUCUUAGUCGGAAGACCUGCCUGUAUUAUCUGCAAAUG
rnacentral:ncRNA from 2 species